rnacentral:misc_RNA from 1 species
UUAUAAUCUUGCAAAAUUUAUCUAUAAUCAGGAAUAGAUCUUGUGGACAGGCCUGUGCCUUCACUAUGAUGUUUACUUUCCAUCUUUGGUGGAAUUGCCAACUCAUUUGUGUUGUGAAGAAUAAAAGCAGUAGAAUACAGCCUGGGAAAUCAUUUGUAUGAUUGUAUGAUUCAGUAUUGAAUGAAUUACCUUAAAAUGAAUGGAUAUUGUGUAUUUUAUUCGGUUGGUCAUUCAAUCAUUUUUCAAUAAUGAAAUGUUGAUGCUGUAAUGGGAAUUCAUUAAUUUUCUCAUCAAAAGUGUAAUCUUGAGUUUUUUUUUCUUUAGUCAGACCUUGAGAUUUGUGCAUUUUAUUUGCCUUCAAGUUUAGUUGAAGGGAGAGAUGUAUUUGGCC